rnacentral:rRNA from 1 species
UACGGGAGGCAGCAGUAAGGAAUAUUGGUCAAUGGACGAAAGUCUGAACCAGCCAUGCCGCGUGAAGGAUUAAGGCCCUAUGGGUUGUAAACUUCUUUUAUAUGGGAAGAAAAAAGAGUAUUCUUACUCACUUGACGGUACCAGAAGAAUAAGCACCGGCUAACUCCGUGCCAGCAGCCGCGGUAAUACGGAGGGUGCAAGCGUUAUCCGGAUUUACUGGGUUUAAAGGGUGCGUAGGUGGGUUUGUAAGUCAGUGGUGAAAUCUCCGAGCUUAACUCGGAAACUGCCAUUGAUACUAUAAAUCUUGAAUUAUAUGGAGGUGAGCGGAAUAUGUCAUGUAGCGGUGAAAUGCUUAGAUAUGACAUAGAACACCAAUUGCGAAGGCAGCUCACUACGUAUAUAUUGACACUGAGGCACGAAAGCGUGGGGAUCAAACAGGAUUAGAUACCCUGGUAGUCCACGCCCUAAACGAUGGAUACUCGACAUCAGCGAUACACUGUUGGUGUCUGAGCGAAAGCAUUAAGUA